CAGUAGCCGCGGGAAUACGUAGGUGGCAAGCGUUGUCCGGAAUUAUUGGGCGUAAAGCGCGCGCAGGUGGUUUAAUAAGUCUGAUGUGAAAGCCCACGGCUCAACCGUGGAGGGUCAUUGGAAACUGUUAAACUUGAGUGCAGGAGAGAAAAGUGGAAUUCCUAGUGUAGCGGUGAAAUGCGUAGAGAUUAGGAGAAACACCAGUGGCGAAGGCGGCUUUUUGGCCUGUAACUGACGCUGAGGCGCGAAAGCGUGGGGAGCAAACAGGAUUAGAUACCCGAGUAGUCCCUGUCUCUUAUAC
rnacentral:rRNA from 1 species